CUCGCUGCCUGAUUGAAGCACAGUAAAUCGGCUUUAUCUCCGCAACAGUUGCGGAGACGAGACAUCGCCCGAUUGUCGUCGUCCCGAGACUAAUCGACAAGGCGGUGCAGCUAAAUCGGGAAUAGGCCCUCCCCUGCCUUGCGGGAGAGCUGAAAAUUUAGAGGCUAAGGAUGAGGAUUGGGCGUCGCCGCCCGGCCUCCUCACGACAACAAAUCGGCGAAUAAGCAUGUAGAAAGCAUUCUGAUUCCGCGUUUGGACGAGGGUUCGAAUCCCUCCAGCUCCACUU
rnacentral:tmRNA from 1 species